rnacentral:tRNA from 1 species
AAGUUUAGGUUCACCAAACCAAGAACCUUCAAAGUUCUAAACAGGGCCAACGCCCUAACUUCUG